rnacentral:rRNA from 1 species
UUUUGGACAAUGGGCGAAAGCCUGAUCCAGCCAUUCCGCGUGAGUGAAGAAGGCCUUCGGGUUGUAAAGCUCUUUCGCACCCCCCCCAAACGAUGCAGUCGAAUAAACUGUGUUAAUGACGGUACCUUGAUAAGAAGCACCGGCUAACUACGUGCCAGCAGCCGCGGUAAUACGUAGGGUGCAAGCGUUAAUCGGAAUUACUGGGCGUAAAGCGUGCGCAGGCGGUUUUGUAAGUCAGACGUGAAAUCCCCGAGCUCAACUUCGGCACCCCCCCUUGAAACUACAAGACUAAAAUAUGUCAGAGGGGGGUAGAAUUCCACGUGUAGCAGUGAAAUGCGUAGAGAUGUGGAGGAAUACCAAUGGCGAAGGCAGCCCCCUGGAUAAUAUUACGCUCAGCACGAAA